AUUGAACGCUGGCGGCAUGCCUUACACAUGCAAGUCGAACGGUAACGGGCCUUCGGGUGCCGACGAGUGGCGAACGGGUGAGUAAUACAUCGGAACGUGCCCGAUCGUGGGGGAUAACGAGGCGAAAGCUUUGCUAAUACCGCAUACGAUCUACGGAUGAAAGCAGGGGACCGCAAGGCCUUGCGCGGACGGAGCGGCCGAUGGCAGAUUAGGUAGUUGGUGGGAUAAAUGCUUACCAAGCCGACGAUCUGUAGCUGGUCUGAGAGGAUGAUCAGCCACACUGGGACUGAGACACGGCCCAGACUCCUACGGGAGGCAGCAGUGGGGAAUUUUGGACAAUGGGCGCAAGCCUGAUCCAGCCAUGCCGCGUGCAGGAUGAAGGCCUUCGGGUUGUAAACUGCUUUUGUACGGAACGAAAAGCCUUCUUUUAAUACAGGAGGGUCAUGACGGUACCGUAAGAAUAAGCACCGGCUAACUACGU
rnacentral:rRNA from 1 species